GACGAACGCUGGCGGCGUGCCUAAUACAUGCAAGUAGAACGCUGAAGGAGGAGCUUGCUUCUCCGGAUGAGUUGCGAACGGGUGAGCAACGCGUAGGUAACCUGCCUGGUAGCGGGGGAUAACUAUUGGAAACGAUAGCUAAUACCGCAUAAGAGUAGAUGUUGCAUGACAUUUGCUUAAAAGGUGCAAUUGCAUCACUACCAGAUGGACCUGCGUUGUAUUAGCUAGUUGGUGGGGUAACGGCUCACCAAGGCGACGAUACAUAGCCGACCUGAGAGGGUGAUCGGCCACACUGGGACUGAGACACGGCCCAGACUCCUACGGGAGGCAGCAGUAGGGAAUCUUCGGCAAUGGACGGAAGUCUGACCGAGCAACGCCGCGUGAGUGAAGAAGGUUUUCGGAUCGUAAAGCUCUGUUGUAAGAGAAGAACGAGUGUGAGAGUGGAAAGUUCACACUGUGACGGUAUCUUACCAGAAAGGGACGGCUAACUACGUGCCAGCAGCCGCGGUAAUACGUAGGUCCCGAGCGUUGUCCGGAUUUAUUGGGCGUAAAGCGAGCGCAGGCGGUUAGAUAAGUCUGAAGUUAAAGGCUGUGGCUUAACCAUAGUACGCUUUGGAAACUGUUUAACUUGAGUGCAAGAGGGGAGAGUGGAAUUCCAUGUGUAGCGGUGAAAUGCGUAGAUAUAUGGAGGAACACCGGUGGCGAAAGCGGCUCUCUGGCUUGUAACUGACGCUGAGGCUCGAAAGCGUGGGGAGCAAA
rnacentral:rRNA from 1 species